AGGGGGGUAUGGCGGAAUUGGUAGACGCUACGGACUUAAAAUCCGUUGGCUUUAUUGACCGUGAGGGUUCAAGUCCCUCUACCCCCA
rnacentral:tRNA from 2 species